rnacentral:rRNA from 1 species
UACGUAGGAGGCGAGCGUUGUCCGGAAUUACUGGGCGUAAAGAGCGCGUAGGCGGCGCGGUACGACCGCUGUGAAAGCCCCCAGCUCAACUGGGGAGGGUCAGCGGUAACGGCCGUGCUUUGAGUGCAGGAGAGGGAAGUGGAACUCCGGGAGUAGCGGUGAAAUGCGUAGAGACCCGGAGGAACACCAGUGGCGAAGGCGGCUUCCUGGUCUGCGACUGACGCUGUGGCGCGAAAGCUAGGGGAGCAAACGGG